UGCCUCUCAAAUUAGAUGGGACUUACUCUACUCGAACUACAUCCUAAGAAGUGCGCUUUGCCUUCUGAUCCACUUCGUCGAGGACCAAGGUAUGGUGUGUUGACGGAAGAGUAAAAGCUCGUCUAUCUGUCGUCAAGUCUUUGUUCAUCUCUGUUAGGCAAUCCUUACUUGUGCAAUUGCAGAGAUGUGGAAUGUUUGGUUUCAAAUUACUUUUCCAGAAUCUUCUUCUAAAAUGAAUGAAACUUAAUUAUUACUUUAUUAGUGAGGAAUUACAAGCAUUGAAUGAAACUAUGAAUAAGAAUGCAGUAGAGGAAUUGAUUUCGAUAUCACGCAAGCCCUAAUUUUGUGUUAAAAAAGUUGACGACAAAACUGGAAGAUGCAUGUCAUUGCAUUAGAUGUUGAUGGACUACCUUCAUUUUUUAAUGCUAUAGGUUGCUAGGCACUCCAAAUGCGGAUGUCUGGAGAGGAAUAGGCAAGUUUCCGAUCUCACGAGUACCCUCAAUGCAAGGUCUCAAAGCUGUCUACUGUAAUUCCCAGUGGUGACAAACUAACAAUGUCUACAAUUAAAUAUUAGGCCAUAAGUUUUAGUAAUCCCAUAAGAUGCAGUGCUAACUAGAUGCAAAAAAAACUAGAUGCUUCAGCCUUGCUACUUCUACUAUACAGAAUUUUUGAGGGCGUCAAUAAUUAAAUCAAAUAAGUUUACCCAUACACUUCUAUUUGGCUUUUCAAAAUCCAGGAAAUCGAACCAUUUGCGUACCUAUGUUUGCUACGUCCUAUUCAAUUUGUUUAUUGAGGCAUACUUCGGUUAUAAUUAUACGAUAAGCUAUUCUAAUUGUGAAGUGUUCUUCCCUUUUCUUUUGGCGAAAGAAAAUGUUCCCCAUUUUGAGCAAGCCUGAACUCUGAAUCAUUACCUUUUACCAUAUUGCAGAAAUCAGGAAUUUCUAAAGUCCGGAACAUUUCUCUACUACACUGCUACUUCAAAAAGACUAAUAGCCUAAAGAUUUGUUUCGGUGUCAGUUGCUGUUAAGCAUUUUAGCUCAUGUCAGUUGCUGCUUUCAUGGCCCUCGAAGAAGAACAAAUCCUGACCAUGUUAGUUGCCACCUAUUACUGUUUCCCCUUGUGUACCGGCGCGCUCACGGCCAGUUCUGGUGCUAUGCCCGGCUACCGCCUGUCCUUUCAAAACCUCAUCGUACCCACCCUUGCUGCCUACCAAAUUCAAAUUUUCUAUGAUCCAAAUCCGCGCGCCUAUGUCGAACUGUCUAGAAACCACUCUUGCAGCCCAUUAUAAAUCAAGUGAGCAGGCAAAUGGGACUCACGCUGCUCAAAUCACAUCCAAAGAAGCAACACGCUCUGGUCACGCUCUUCGCCUUCUGAUCUGGUUCACCAAGGACCAAGGUAUGGUGUGUUUUAGGCAAUCCUUAUUUGUGCAAUUACAGACAUGUGUUUGUAGGGAAACUCUCUUGUCUUCUAUGUUCAAUAAAUAUAUUCCAAGGUCUAUUGUUUUCUUUUUUUUUCAACAUUAGCAAUUGGUUCCACAGCAGUCAGCCGGUCACCACUGUAGCAAUAUUUGGUUCAGUUUCAUUUUUGGAUUCUUCUUCUGGAAUGGCUAUGAACAAGACAUGCCAUAGUUACUGUUAGAGGAAUUAACAUCAAUACAUGUUGGCCAUAAUUUUGUGUUAAAAGAAGAUUUUUAGUGCCCAAAAAAUUACUAACGAUCACAAUAGAUGAGUAUCCACAUAUACUACUAUUAGACGAUGAUGCCACUUUUAUUGGUGAAGUUGAACAUCAUGACAGGGAGUUGCAGGUCACCGUAUGGUUCUGUAACAUGUAAUUUUGUCAUUUUAUUAUUUAUGCAUAUUGGUCGUUGGGUAUUUCUAACCCCAGGCUGGUCUGUAUGUUAUUAAAAGAUCUGCAUCUUAGUUCUAGGUGGAUCAGCUUGUUUUAGAGGAGUUGUUCAGACAGAAAUUCCCAAGCUAGAUUUGUUAUAUUUCCCUUUAUAUAAAAUCGCGUGACUUCGUCACACAUAUGCACAUAUAUACUCAGUAUCACCUCCAACUACACUAGGAUUUUUGUUCUCACCAAAUCACUAAAAUUUCUGAAAAAAAUAAUAAUUUACAUGGCAGGUCCAAAAGAUAUUUGACAAGCUUAGGAGUUUCCUGGAGAAACCCUUGGAUUUAGGAGUGAUGCUGAAGAACUGCAAGGUCAAGAAAGCAGUACAGCCCUCGUGCCAAAAAAGUGCUAAAGGAAAACAUAAAGUUUUGUAUCAUGUACCUUACUGCUUGGCAAAAACAUCUGCUUGAAUAUCCUGUUGGAUUUCAAACUGGCCAAAUGGAGCAUAUCCUGUCAGAUUAAGAACUACAUGUAAACAUUCCAGCACCUUGCAUCAUACAGAACUAGCCUAAAGUGAUAUGCUUGAUCUUCUAUGCCUAUAAGUGCUGUAAAGAAGGUGUUUAUCACCAAGGAAGUUAAUUAUAAUAAGCAUCAGUAUAGAAACAAAUUUAUGAUGACUGAUAUAUUAUGCUAAAAAUAGCCAGAAGAUCCAGAUCAAGCAGAGUUCCUGGCUGGAAAAUAUAUACUAUUUUUUUAUGUUUUAUGUUUUCCUCAAGUAGCAGGCAGUGGCUUUGGUUUUCAUCUUGAUACAGUCAAAUCUUGCUUUAUAUAGUGUAAGAGGGUGAAAGUUUUGUUCAAUUAAUUAUUAAUUUUAUGACACAUACACACACACACACAAUGAAUGCCCUCCAGGUGCCCCACGAGAAAAAAGGUCCGUUCGGGAUCCAAAACAUUGGAUGUAUACAAUAUUUAGUCCUAUCAAUGAAAUGAACAGCUUUUCCUGUGCAUGUUGUAGCUGCGGUUGAAUAGCCCAUUAGACUGAUAAAGAUAUCUAUAUCUAUCUUAAAAAAUUUGAUUUUAAAUUUCGUCCCUUUUUUCCGGAAUUUCGUGGUUACCGUGGUAACCGCGAAUUCCGGUGCGCCAUGAGAAAAAAGGUCCGUUUGGGAUCCAAAACCUUGGAUGUAUACAAUAUUUAGUCAUAUCAAUGAAAUGAACAGCUUUUCCUUUGCGUUUAAGCAAAAUCUGUGUUGGAGCUCAGGUCUUGCAUGUUUCAGAUAGUUACAUUCUAUGAAUAAACUUCAGAUGAGAAGCAUUUAUGAUGCUUUCUAUAUUGCAAUGCCAACUAUUCAUGUACAUGCAACACUUUAUGAAUUUUAUAUACUCUCUUAUUUAUAAAGUGUUUUUAUUUGUGUACUUUUUUUUCAUGCGAGUUCCCUUGUAUUCAGAGAUAAAGGUGGUCAUUAUAGCUGCAAUUGCUAAAUGUGUGUGGGCGGAUUUUCUAUUUGGAGUGAGUAAUGAGAAAGCCGGGUAGGGAGAACAAAAAAUCUUCCUGCAGGUGAAGAUGGAGAAGAAAAUAGUUGGCUUGGAAGAAAGGGGUUGGAAACCGCAUGUUUAAUUGUGCUCGAUGUGUGCCUAUCAACAGUAUAACAUUGUUUGAUCACUGUCUAGGAGCAAUUUUUAUUGUUCCUAGGAAUGUUUACGUAAACAAUGUUACACUUAUCAUUUGUGACCCCGUAGCGUAGCACGGGCAUCUUACUAGUGUCUUCAACAGGCUGAUUUUCAUUAGUUGUGUUGGCAUGUUCUUCAGUAGGCUGAGCAGAUACUUCAGCUUAAGGAAUUUCUUGUUGUGAUGUAGCUGCAACCUUUGGUUUGAAUCCCUCGACCAGUUUGACAAAUCUGACUUUGGCACCUAGCCAAUCUGCACGAUAAGCG
rnacentral:lncRNA from 1 species